rnacentral:misc_RNA from 1 species
UACGAAGGGUGCUAGCGUUGUUCGGAAUUACUGGGCGUAAAGAGCGCGUAGGCGGUUUAGUAAGUUGGAAGUGAAAGCCCAGGGCUUAACCUUGGAAUUGCUUUCAAAACUACUAGACUUGAGAUCGGUAGGGGAUAGUGGAAUUCCUAGUGUAGAGGUGAAAUUCGUAGAUAUUAGGAGGAACACCGGUGGCGAAGGCGGCUAUCUGGACCGAAUCUGACGCUGUGGCGCGAAAGCGUGGGGAGCAAACAGG